rnacentral:lncRNA from 1 species
GGAAAACCUUUGAUGAAAUGACUGUAUAUUUAACAUGGCACAUUAUGAUAUAAACUUACAAAAAAAGGAGUAAGAAAACUGAACCAUGGGAUGGAUUCAGAAACAUACAACAUAAGGAUGAACACAUGCAUAACCAGGUUAAUGAGUAUAUCGAGGAUGAUUGUAUGAACAAUGGAGAGUCUGUCAUGCGGUGAAGAGGUUGAUGGUGCAACUGCAAACCUUUUCAUACGUAUUUUAAACUAAGCAAUCUCAC